AUUGAACGCUGGCGGCAUGCUUUACACAUGCAAGUCGAACGGUAACAGGCCGCAAGGUGCUGACGAGUGGCGAACGGGUGAGUAAUGCAUCGGAACGUGCCCAGUCGUGGGGGAUAACUACUCGAAAGAGUAGCUAAUACCGCAUCCGAUCUAUGGAUGAAAGCGGGGGACCGUAAGGCCUCGCGCGAUUGGAGCGGCCGAUGUCAGAUUAGGUAGUUGGUGGGGUAAAGGCCCACCAAGCCAACGAUCUGUAGCUGGUCUGAGAGGACAACCAGCCACACUGGGACUGAGACACGGCCCAGACUCCUACGGGAGGCAGCAGUGGGGAAUUUUGGACAAUGGGCGCAAGCCUGAUCCAGCAAUGCCGCGUGCAGGAAGAAGGCCUUCGGGUUGUAAACUGCUUUUGUACGGAACGAAACGGCUCUGGUUAAUACCCGGGGCUAAUGACGGUACCGUAAGAAUAAGCACCGGCUAACUACGUG
rnacentral:rRNA from 1 species